UCAGCAAUGGCAGUGGCGGACGGGUGAGUAACACGUAGGAAUCUAUCUUUGGGUGGGGGACAACCGUGGGAAACUACGGCUAAUACCGCAUGAUGCCUGAGGGCCAAAGGUCGCAAGACCGCCUGGAGAGGAGCCUGCGUCUGAUUAGCUUGUUGGUGGGGUAAAGGCUUACCAAGGCGACGAUCAGUAGCUGGUCUGAGAGGAUGAUCAGCCACAUUGGGACUGAGACACGGCCCGAACUCCUACGGGAGGCAGCAGUGGGGAAUAUUGGACAAUGGGGGCAACCCUGAUCCAGCAAUGCCGCGUGGGUG
rnacentral:rRNA from 1 species